rnacentral:misc_RNA from 1 species
UUGAAUGAAUAUAGAGUUGGUUGUUGCUGGCUUAGGCAUGUGCACACCUUCUCUUUUCAUCCACACACACCUGUGAACUUGUGAGGCAGGAAGGGGGAGAAAGGCCUUAAUUGGUCUGAUUCUUUCCUGCCUACUUAAUCACACAAACUCAUUUAUUUUAAACUGAAUGUAAUUGAUGUAAUGCAUCAUUUAAUAC